UCCCGUUGAUCCUGCGGGAGGUCGCAGCUAUUAGGGUUCGACUAAGCCAUGCAAGUCAGGUAGCAAUACCGGCGGAAUGCUCAGUAACACGUCAAUAAUCUGCCCUUAAGUGUGGAAUAACCUUGGGAAACUGAGGCUAAUACCGCAUAAUUGAAAAGAACUGGAAUGUUUUUUCUAUUAAAGCUUCGGUGCUUAAGGAUGAGUUGGCGGUCGAUUAGGUUGUUGGUGAGGUAAAGGCUCACCAAGCCGAAGAUCGAUAGAGGCCUUGAGAGAGGUAGCCUCGAGAAGGGCACUGAGAUACUGGCCCUAGCCCUACGGGGUGCAGCAGGCGCGAAACCUUUACACUGCACGUAAGUGUGAUAAGGGAACCCUAAGUGCUCAUACUUUGUAUGGGCUUUUGCCAAGAGCAAAAAUCUUAGCGAAUAAGUGGUGGGAAAGACUGGUGCCAGCCGCCGCGGUAACACCAGCGCCACAAGUGGGGACCAUUUUUAUUUGGCCUAAAGCGUCCGUAGCCGGUUUGAAAAGUCUUCUGUGAAAUUGUUAAGCUCAACUUAACAACGUGCAAAAGAUACUUUCAAACUUGGAACUGGGAGGAGUUAGGAGUAUUCUAAGGGGAGCGGUAAAAUGCUAUAAUCCUUGGAGGACUGCCUGUGGCGAAGGCGCCUAACUAGAACAGAUUCGACGGUGAGGGACGAAAGCUGGGGGAGCGAUCCGGAUUAGAUACCCGAGUAGUCCCAGCUGUAAACUCUGCGAGCUAGGUGUUGCAUAUUUUUUAUAAAUAUGCAGUGUCGUAACGAAGGUUUAAGCUCGCCGCCUGGGAAGUAUGGUCGCAAGACUGAAACUUAAAGGAAUUGGCGGGGGAGCACUACAAGGGGUGCGGCGUGCGGUUUAAUUGAAUUCUACGCCGAAAAUUUCACCAGAGGCGACGGCAGGAUGAAAGUCAGGCUAAAGGCCUUACUAGACGAGCCGAGAGGUAGUGCAUGGCCGCCGUCAGCUCGUGCCGUGAGGUGUCCUGUUAAGUCAGGCAACGAGCGAGACCUGUAUCUACAAUUGCUAGCAACUCUAUCAGAGGUUUGAGCACAUUGUGGAGACUGCCCUGGAAACAGGGAGGAAGGUGCAGGCUACGGUAGGUCUGUAUGCUCCGAAUCCUCUGGGCUACACGCGCGCAACAAUGGUAGAGACAAAGGGAUACAACUCCGAAAGGAGAAGUUAACCCUCUAAACUCUAUCUUAGUUCAGAUCGAAGAUUGUAACUCAUCUUCGUGACGAUGGAAUCCCUAGUAAUCGGAAGUCAUUAUCUUCCGGUGAAUAUGUCCCUGCUCCUUGCACACACCGCCCGUCAAACCAACCGAGCAGGGUCUAGAUGAGAUUUAGUUUUUAAUUAACUCGAAUCUGGGCUCAGUGAGGUGGGUUAAGUCGUCACAAGGUA
rnacentral:rRNA from 1 species